rnacentral:rRNA from 1 species
UUUCCGGUUGAUCCUGCCGGACCCCACUGCUAUCGGGGUGGGACUAAGCCAUGCGAGUCGGCGCCCUCCAGCCACCGGGGAGGGCGCGGCGGACGGCUCCGUAACACGUAGCUAACCUACCCUCAGGACGGGAAUAACCCCGGGAAACUGGGGCUAAUUCCCGAUAGGUGAGGAGGCCUGGAAUGGUCCCUCACCAAAAGGGUCCUGGAACCAUGCUUCCAGGGCCGCCUGAGGAUGGGGCUGCGGCCGAUCAGGUAGUUGGUGGGGUAACGGCCCACCAAGCCUAUAACCGGUACGGGCCGUGAGAGCGGGAGCCCGGAGAUGGGCACUGAGACAAGGGCCCAGGCCCUACGGGGCGCAGCAGGCGCGAAACCUCCGCAAUGCGCGCAAGCGUGACGGGGCUACCCCGAGUGCCGCCCGCUGAGGGCGGCUUUUCCCCAGUGUAAACAGCUGGGGGAAUAAGGGGAGGGCAAGUCGGGUGUCAGCCGCCGCGGUAAUACCCGCUCCCCGAGUGGUGGGGACGAUUAUUGGGCUUAAAGCGUCCGUAGCCGGCCUGGUAAGUCCCUCGUUAAAUCCAACGGCCUAACCGUUGGACUGCGGGGGAUACUGCCAGGCUAGGGGGCGGGAGAGGCCGGCGGUAUUCCCGGGGUAGGGGUGAAAUCCUAUAAUCCCGGGAGGACCACCAGUGGCGAAGGCGGCCGGCCAGAACGCGCCCGACGGUGAGGGACGAAAGCCGGGGGAGCGAACCGGAUUAGAUACCCGGGUAGUCCCGGCUGUAAACGAUGCGGGCUAGGUGUUGGCGCGACUACGAGUCGCGCCAGUGCCGCAGGGAAACCGUUAAGCCCGCCGCCUGGGGAGUACGGUCGCAAGACUGAAACUUAAAGGAAUUGGCGGGGGGGCACCACAAGGGGUGAAGCUUGCGGUUCAAUUGGAGUCAACGCCGGG